rnacentral:rRNA from 1 species
AUUGAACGCUGGCGGCAGGCUUAACACAUGCAAGUCGAGCGGGGGAAGGUAGCUUGCUACCGGACCUAGCGGCGGACGGGUGAGUAAUGCUUAGGAAUCUGCCUAUUAGUGGGGGACAACAUCUCGAAAGGGAUGCUAAUACCGCAUACGUCCUACGGGAGAAAGCAGGGGAUCUUCGGACCUUGCGCUAAUAGAUGAGCCUAAGUCGGAUUAGCUAGUUGGUGGGGUAAAGGCCUACCAAGGCGACGAUCUGUAGCGGGUCUGAGAGGAUGAUCCGCCACCCGGGGACUAGGACACGGCCCAGACUCCUACGGGAGGCAGCAGUGGUGAAUAUUGGACAAUGGGGGGAACCCUGAUCCAGCCAUGCCGCGUGUGUGAAGAAGGCCUUAUGGUUGUAAAGCACUUUAAGCGAGGAGGAGGCUACUUUAGUUAAUACCUAGAGAUAGUGGACGUUACUCGCAGAAUAAGCACCGGCUAACUCUGUGCCAGCCGCCGCGGUAA